AACGAACACUGGCGGCGUGCCUAAUACAUGCAAGUCGAGCGAAUCAUUAGGAUCUUGCUCCUGAUGGUUAGCGGCGGACGGGUGAGUAACACGUGGGCAACCUGCCUGUAAGACUGGGAUAACACCGGGAAACCGGUGCUAAUACCGGAUAAUUCUUUCCCUCACAUGAGGGAAAGCUGAAAGACGGCGCAAGCUGUCACUUACAGAUGGGCCCGCGGCGCAUUAGCUAGUUGGUGAGGUAACGGCUCACCAAGGCGACGCUGCGUAGCCGACCUGAGAGGGUGAUCGGCCACACUGGGACUGAGACACGGCCCAGACUCCUACGGGAGGCAGCAGUAGGGAAUCUUCCGCAAUGGACGAAAGUCUGACGGAGCAACGCCGCGUGAGUGGUGAAGGCCUUCGGGUCGUAAAACUCUGUUGUUAGGGAAGAACAAGUACCGGAGUAACUGCCGGUACCUUGACGGUACCUAACCAGAAAGCCACGGCUAACUACGUGCCAGCCGCCGCAGUAAGAC
rnacentral:rRNA from 1 species